rnacentral:rRNA from 1 species
GAUGAACGCUGGCGGCGUGCCUAAUACAUGCAAGUCGAGCGAACAGAUGAGGAGCUUGCUCCUCUGACGUUAGCGGCGGACGGGUGGGUAACACGUGGAUAACCUACCUAUAAGACUGGGAUAACUUCGGGAAACCGGAGCUAAUACCGGAUAAUAUAUUGAACCGCAUGGUUCAAUAGUGAAAGACGGUUUUGCUGUCACUUAUAGAUGGAUCCGCGCCGCAUUAGCUAGUUGGUAAGGUAACGGCUUACCAAGGCAACGAUGCGUAGCCGACCUGAGAGGGGGAUCGGCCACACUGGAACUGAGACACGGUCCAGACUCCUAAGGGAGGCAGCAGUAGGGAAUCUUCCGCAAUGGGCGAAAGCCUGACGGAGCAACGCCGCGUGAGUGAUGAAGGUCUUCGGAUCGUAAAACUCUGUUAUUAGUGAAAAACAAAUGUGUAAGUAACUAUGCACGUCUUGACGGUACCUAAUCAGAAAGCCACGGCUAACUACGUG